rnacentral:rRNA from 1 species
UACGGAGGGUGCGAGCGUUGUCCGGAAUCACUGGGCGUAAAGGGCGCGUAGGUGGCGCGACAAGUCAACGGUGAAAGCUCGGGGCUCAACCCCGAGUCGGCCGUCGAUACUGUUGGGCUCGAGCACUGUAGAGGCAGGUGGAAUUCCGGGUGUAGCGGUGGAAUGCGUAGAGAUCCGGAAGAACACCAGAGGCGAAGGCGGCCUGCUGGGCCUUGUCUGACGCUGAGGCGCGAAAGCGUGGGGAGCGAACAGG